rnacentral:lncRNA from 1 species
AAUAAUUGUCAGCAAAGUUGUUUUUUUUUAUUCAAAUCGAAAGAAUUCUGAUUAAUUUAUACGUAGGUCAUCAAUUCUGCAUUGUAUAAAAGGAGACGUUAAACAAAACACCUGUUUUUCCUAUUUUUCAUCGUAAAGAGAAUUCAAGUCAUUUUAUCGACAUGACUGUUCUAUAUCGAAAAAAUUCCAAUUUCCGUAUUAACAUAGUGGUAGAAAGAAUACCACAUCGCGUCUAAACUUCAAACUGGUUAGCUUUAAC